rnacentral:rRNA from 1 species
GACGAACGCUGGCGGCGUGCUUAACACAUGCAAGUCGAACGGUGACGCGCCUUCCUUUUUGGUUGGUGUGGAUGAGUGGCGAACGGGUGAGUAACACGAGAGUAACCUGCCCCCUUCUUCUGGAUAACCGCAUGAAAGUGUGGCUAAUACGGGAUAUUCUGGGUCUGUCGCAUGAUGGGUCUGGGAAAGAUAUUGUUUCGGUGGGGGAUGGGCUCGCGGCUUAUCAGGUUGUUGGUGGGGUGAUGGCCUACCAAGGCGGUGAGGGGUAGCCGGCCUGAGAGGGUGGGCGGUCAUACUGGGGAUGAGACACGGCCCAGCCUCCGACGGGAGGCAGCAGUGGAGAAUAGUGCACAGGGGGAGGAAGGCUGAUGCAGCGACGCCGCGUGAGAGAUGGAGGUCUUCGGGUUGUGAACCUCUUUCGCCAGUGAAGCAGGCCUGGUUCGUUUGUGGGUGGGUUGACGGUAGCUGGAGAAGAAGCGCCGGCUAACUACGUG